GGCAGCAGUCGAGAGGCUUCGGCAAUGGGGGAAACCCUGACCGAGCGACGUCGCGUGGGUGAUGAAGGUCUUUGGACCGUAAAACCCUGUCAGGUGGGAUGAAACACCAUUUGGCUAAUAUCCAAGUGGCUUGACAGUACCGCCAGAGGAAGCUCCGGCUAACUCCGUGCCAGCAGCCGCGGUAACACGGGGGGAGCAAGCGUUGUUCGGAUUCAUUGGGCGUAAAGAGCUCGUAGGCGGCUCCGUAAGUCGAGGGUGAAAUACAACGGCUCAACCGUUGACCCGCCUCCGAAACUACGGAGCUUGAGGUCGGGAGAGGAAAGCGGAAUUCCUGGAGUAGCGGUGAAAUGCGUAGAUAUCAGGAAGAACACCGGUGGCGAAGGCGGCUUUCUGGACCGACUCUGACGCUGAGGAGCGAAAGCUAGGGGAGCGAACAGGAUUAGAUACCCUGGUAGUCCUAGCCGUAAACGAUGGGCACUAGGUGUGGGAGGAUCGACCCCUUCCGUGCCGCCGUUAACGCAUUAAGUGCCCCGCCUGGGGAGUACGACCGCAAGGUUUAAACUCAAAGGAAUUGACGG
rnacentral:rRNA from 1 species